AUUUGUCAUCACAUCUAACGUUUCGUACGGAUAAUCGAAUUUGCAAAGUUAGCGUCUUUUCAUCCAGUGAAAGAAUAAAAACCAUGAGCAAGAAACCGAACAAAAAAGACGGAAAAAAGUCAGGAAACCAAAUUGGAGAGAAAGUGGCAUGUAAGUUGAUCGAUGCAACGUCAAAUGCAGCUUGCGAAAUAGUCGUUAAAGUUAUCGAAGGAAUUGCUUACAAAUGUUGUGGUUUGCAUCUCAACCGAAUACCGACGUAAGCUGUAUGUAGCCUCCUUUUUGUACCAGCAAGAGUUCGUGGAAUGAUAUUUCGUUAAGUUGACUUUAACCAGUCAAAAUCUUCACCAGUGAACUUUGCCUGACAUAUUGCUGUAUGAGCUCUUCAAAUGGAAAAUAAACA